CCUGCAUUAGAUGGCGGACCCAUGUUGUUUGGUGGCACCCCUCCCAGGUUAUUGGGAGGCAUCUGAUUGUAGUUGUUGGGAGGCACCUGAUUGUAGUUGUUGGGAGGUGCCUGAUUGUAGUUGUUGGGAGGCCCAGAGUUCCAGUUGCUGCUUGGCGGGGGAUUAUUGUAGUUGUUUGGUGGACCCAUGUUGUGAGGCGGCAUUGGAGCCCUGUUGGGGGGUGGAGGACCCAUGUUGGGAGGCAUCGGGCCUGGACCCAUGUUGGGAGGUGGAGGACCCCUGUUGGGGGGUGGAGGACCCAUGUUGGCAGGUCCAGGUCCCGAAUUUGGGCCAGCUUGAUUAGGCAUAGGAGAUGGACCGGUAUUUUCCCUCCUCCUUUCAAAGUUCCUGGAUCUGUCAAAGUUACGAGGUCUGUCAUUACGUCUAUUUCUCUCAUUUGCUCGACUAUUGUUUCUUAUCCAUUCUUCAUGGUACUUGGGAUCAUAUGGCACAGCUUGGCCAUUAAUAAAAGGUUCACCUGCCAAAACAAACAAGAAAGCAAACAGAUCAUGUAUAAAAGAAAUUUUCUGGUUAACUCAGUUGAAAACAAUAGAAACAGGUAUACAAUGGAGAAAAAACACAUGCUGCAGUUUAAUAUUACUAUCACACUCGGUGACCAAACCACAAUUCUUGGAGUCCAGAAAUUAUGAAUUGAAAAUUUAACAUGGAUCAAUUUUUUUCGGAUGCAAUCAACACAAGAAACUGGUUAGUUCAUCAGCACUAAAGGUGAUGUUAUAUAUGAAAAACUCUGUACACAAUAUUGACUAGGGUUGCAGAAACUAGAAAGCCUUCAACAGGGGUUUUUGUAUUUCCCGGGUUCCAUAUAGCACUAGCACUGCUACAGCAUUAACUGCCCUUUAGGAUAACUUUCAUCGGUAACAUUCUAACGCCUCAAACUAUCCUUUGUCAGAAAAAAAGAAAGAAAUAGAUCAAAAAUCCAAAUUUCAGACUGCCAGAGAUAUUCCAGAAUGGGAUUUACGACUUAAAAUAAUCAAUUGCUAUAAAUAAUUUGUUUUUCAUUGAAAUGCAACUUGAAGAAACAAGCAUAUCCGUACCUCCGUAAUCUUUGUUCUUAACAUCCAAGUAAGAAUCAGGAAGUACCCAACGGACUCCAGGCAACUCUGCAAGAAUUUUAGAAAAAUACAUAUAUGAAAACCCAGACAAAGCACAAGGAAAUAAUAAAAAUCCCAACUGAGAAGCAGAAUCACCUUUGAUUUUGAGUGAAACCUCUUCAGAUACAAGUGCCCCAAAUGCAUAAUAGCACCUAGUUGAAACUGAGUAGAUCUUCAUUCUAGCUUCUUCCUCACUGCAGUUCAGCCGCCAACAUACAAGCAACGUAAACUUGGUUAUAUGAAUUGUCAUUGCAAAACAUAAAUCACAGAGAACACAAACAAUAGGAAUACAAUACAAUCCUAUUUGCUUUUGGUCUGUAAAAAAAAAAGUGAUCCAGACCAUGCUAUACCAGAUGUGAUUAAGACCAUACUAUUUACGAGAACAUUAAGAUCAUGCCACAAAGUGGUUAUAGUUUAAAUUUUGAGUAUCAAAAAUGAAGCUAAUGAGUUUUGCUUUUGUUAGAACGUCAAACCAUAUUGUUCAACAUUAAGAACAAUUGUACCCCCAAAUUCGGCCGAAAUAUAACAGUCCGAGAUUGCAAUUACAAAAUGAUUUCACAUCCUACAACAGCCGUAGCGAUCCCAAUUCAGACAAUAAUAAAAUAGUUGCAUGCAACAAUAAGCCAUUAUCUUUUACAGCACAGGAUAUAACAUAUAAUGUUCAAUAAUCGGGCAGGUGCGUAACACAAAACAGAACUAGUUUCAUACAACCAGAUAAUGCCAGAAUGUAGCAUGUGCAUACAACCCUCCCCACAACAGAGAAACAACCUCUUGUAUUUUCUCAAACAAAAGUUUACUGAUGCAAUACGAAUCAAAUUAACCCAAAACAUUACCGUAAUCGAAAAGGAGAAAAUUAAAAAGCUACACCUUCGUAAAAAUAAAUACAGAUAUAAACUGAAACUGUAUUAAAGAAACAAAUACACUAGAAAAGCCAUAUAAUUUAUUAAACUCUCAUUUCCAAUUUCUAACUUCUCAUAAUCCAAACACAUACAAAUAAAUAAAUAAAUGGUUACUUUAGACAGAAAACAAUGGAGGUGUUACCUUCCGACGACGGUAGCUAGGGUUUUGAUGUAGCUAUUGAUGAUCUCAUCCCUAGUGAUGUCACCCUGAGGGGGCUCCAUGACAACCAACCAGUGCUCGAAGUCACACCCAUCGAGGAGGAUCGUCUCCUUGGGAGGCCGGUUCGACCAGUUAGGGUUUGGGUCUCUGAGCGACGACGUGGUCGAUCUGGUGGACAAGCACCGGACGAUGGCAGGAGAGAGCCUGCCGGCGGAGGCCAUGACUCCGGCGAGGGGGCGGAGGCGGUGGAGGA
rnacentral:lncRNA from 1 species